ensembl:lncRNA
NNGACCCUGAAACUUGGCAAACCAAGGGUCCCUAUGAACUUGUCACCUGGGGGCGAGGUUAUGCGUGUGUAUCCACCCCUACAGGCCCCCGAUGGAUUCCUCAAAAAUGGGUAAAACCUUUUGUUCCAAAGAAUCCAGCACCAGCAAGAAGAGAAGAGAAGCAAGUGGCUGUUGCUUCCAAGAGAAGACACUGCUGGAGAGAGCAAGAAGAAACCUUUCUAGCCUCUGACCUACAUACUUUAGCUGUGAAUAUGUUUUAAAAAAUGUCUGUUUCCUUUUUUUUUUAGAAAUAAUCUACCUCUUACUCAAAUCCAUGAUGAGCCUUAACCCUGCUGUCAUCCUGCUCGCACUGAGCAGCCUGACAGCAGCCUGGAUCGUCCCACAGCCACGCCAGAACAUCUGGGUGACCCUGGCACAAACACUCCAGCAAGAAAAUAUUUGUCUAUUUACUGCAGCAGCGAAAAAUCCUAUGUCUACCUGCCUGGUAGGAAUCCCUUUGCAGCAUGAUGAAUUCACACACAGUUUUAAUACACUGACUCCUGAAGCAGGUAAUAAAUUACACAGCAUUCAAAUAGAAACAGAGUUAAGAAACCUUGUCAAAGAGUGGCUGCCACAUUUUCCUAAAGCAACCCAAGAACCCCAGGAGUUAGAGCUACUGGGUUCCUCUCCAGCAUCAUACUGUGUACACUUUAGGGUCAGUCCUCCAAUUCAUAAAGAAACCUUCCACCAUAUAGUACAACAUCGAGAAGAAUUCACAGCAAAAAGGUGGUGCCAUGUGCUAAGCUACAUCAAAGUGCACUCCUCAGCUCAUACACAUCCCAAAAGCCUCCCCAAAGGACUGUUCCUCAUUUGUGGGGAUCACGCAUGGGCAGGAAUUCCAUCCCGUCUUCUCGGAGGGCCGUGUACCAUAGGGCGUCUAUCACUGUCAGCACCCAGUCAAACAUUAAUUGGUGAAUGGACCCAUAAAAACAAUUUGACCAGAAAAAUUCAAAAGAGAAGUGUUACAAAAUUAGAUGAAAAUUGUGAUUCAGAGAUUUUCCAUUGGUCCAAAUCAAAAAGAAUUGCUGCAUCCAUUUUCCUUCCUUGGGUGGCUGCAGCCAAAGCCCUAGGUGAAUUGGGACACCUAGAAUGCUGGGUGGUAAGACAAGAGAAUUUAACAUCCAACACCAUAAGUGCCCACCUAGAAGAUGAGGAAGUUAGCAGGCAGGCAACACUCCAAAAUGGUGCAGCGAUAGACUUUCUCCUAUUGCUCCACGGGCACGAGUGCCAGGAGUCGGAGGGUCUCUGCUGCAUGAAUCUGACAUUGAAAGCUCCUAACAUUCAUGCUACACUCCGAGAGAUGAAAAGCAUGAUCGGACAAGUCAAGCAAGAAACAGAUGACUGGUUCAAUGGACUGUUUAAAAACUGGGGACUCUCGGGGUGGUGGGCUUCAGUAGUGAAAACUAUUCUGUCACUGCUAGUCAUUGUUUUGCUAACAGUAUUAGUGUUCGGAGCAUUAAGCAAAAUACUGUACAGAAGCAUAAUUAAGCUAAUCUCAGCUACCUCAGGUGUCAACCAGAUAGAGUUGGCAGACCGGAGUAACCCUCACCGGCCCGCAAAUGGGAAUUGGUGGGCCACUUCAGGUCGGUAAAUCAUAUAAGCUCGUUACCUUUCGUUUAAUUAUAUAUUACAAAAUAGGUGGAGAUGUGGUACUGCACAUUUCUGGGAGUUACUUAGUUUCUGUGUAAACCCUCCCUGCAGCUGUGACAUGUUUUUCCCCUCCCCUCCUUGUCUCUGAAAUGUUAUGCUGUUGGUUGGUGUUAUAUGUCUCCCCGCCCCUCUCCCGAGGUUUGAAAGAGUCUGGGAAGUGUAUCCUCGGUCUCUUCUCUCUCCUGGAAGCAGCCAGAAUAAAUAUCCUCUGUUACCCCG